rfam:Rattus norvegicus chromosome 7, whole genome shotgun sequence.
GGGGAUUUAGCUCAGCGGUAGAGCGCUUGCUUAGCGAGCACAAGGCCCUGGGUUCGGUCCCCAGCUCCG